rnacentral:rRNA from 1 species
UCUUGACACAUAUAAGAGGUCCAGCCUGCCCAGUGACCUAGUUCAACGGCCGCGGUAUCCUAACCGUGCGAAGGUAGCGUAAUCACUUGUUCUUUAAAUGAGGACUAGUAUGAAUGGCACCACGAGGGUUACACUGUCUCCUCUUUUCAAUCAGUGAAACUAAUCUUCCCGUGAAGAAGCGGGAAUCUUUUUAUAAGACGAGAAGACCCUAUGGAGCUUUAAACAAGUUAACACUUGCUGCCCAAAAUAACUUUUUCAGAAACACAACAUACAGCAUAGCAUUAUGAUUAAUAGUUUUCGAUUGGGGUGAUCACGGAGUAAAAAAUAACCUCCAUGCCGAAAGGACUCCUCCCUGAGCAAAAAGCCACAACUUUAAGCACUAAAAAAAUUAACGUUUAUUGACCCAAUAUUUUGAUCAACGAACCAAGUUACCCUAGGGAUAACAGCGCAAUCCACUUCAAGAGCUCCUAUCGACAAGUGGGUUUACGACCUCGAUGUUGGAUCAGGGUACCCCAGUGG